GGCGGCCUUUCCCAAAGACUCUCUGCAUUGCCCAAUGGAGGCAGACCCCAAUCCCGGAGAGGUGUCUUGGGACACCCUGGAGAGGAAAGAGGCCGCCUAUGAAGGGGGCUCACGGUGACAUCAUCCCGAAUGUUCCAGUGGCAACACAGAAGAUUCAGGUAACAGGACAAAAUCAAAUAGGAACUGAGAUCAGAAACUACACCUUAGUUAAAAUGCAAACUUUUAUUGAAGAUUUUAUGCAGCAGAAAGGAGAGAGGGGAAUGAAUUGGCUCUUGUGGGAUUUUUUGUUUGUUUGGAAUGAGCUCUUAUUAUUCACAGCUGCCAGAGUGCACCAACUCGCUGGUAUCUCUAAACAUCUUAAACUCUAUAACAUUCUUAAAGUUCCUGUAAUUAGGAGGAGUAGCCUGUAGAAGUAAAUCUCUGGACUCAAGGUCAAAUGGACCCUCCUCAGGGCUGGAAAUAAAGAGGGGGUCAUUAGGGUCACUACUGUCACGGAAAUGAUAAACCUAUUGGGCUUCUAAGGGUUAAGAAUUCUAAGUAAUAUAUGUUAUUAAAACUUCUAGAAAUAAGGAAACGUCUACACGCAAGGAAAAUAGAUGUGUUUUUGGGUACGAAACGUAUGAGGUGUGGAGAUUUUUUUUUUUUUAAGUAAAAAGAAAAUAAAUUUGUCCUAAAGUAAAACUGGUUAUUUCAGAAUGGGAAAUAGGAAAAUAAAGGACAAAAUGGGGUAUACAGCUGGGAAGAGAGAGAGAAAAAGAAUUUUAUCUUGUGUAGUGAAGUUGGGUAAACUCGGAUCAUUAUUAUAAGGUGUGUGUGGUUUUUUUUUUUUUAACCUAAGCUUUAAUAGCAAUAGUUUGCUUAUGUAAUUUUCUUUCAUCAGCUGAAAGGACAAAGUUUUCUUGGAGUAUUGGUAUGUUUCUGAUAGAUUACAGAAUGCUUUUCUUUACCAUAAGUAAUCUGGCUAGAAAGCAAAGGUUUUGUGUUUUAUUGGAAGAAAUCAUGCUAAAACUUCUUUAUGGAUAUUCUUGUAUGGAUAUAUGUUAUUGAUAUGUGUUCCAGAAAUUAUAUGAAAUUCCUAGAAAUCUUAUAUGUAUGUUAUCAUUUGUAAUUCUCAUUAUCAUCUUAAAAUGUUGUAUGUCACAGAAAUAACCAAAUUUCCUUGCCAACUGCAUUAUAAUGAAUUCUCGUUAGAUAUUUAAUCAUGAUCAUUUUUAGGUCUUUUGUCAUUUACAGUUAUUGUUUUACUCUGACGCUUUUUACAGAUGUGUUUCAUAUUCAGAGAUUUCAUGGAGAGGUCUCUGACAAGUAUUCUGGAAUAUAGGUUUCUGGUAAUGCUCAGAUCACACCACUGACCUGGGUAGGAGUAUACGUGACACUAUAUUCAUGAAACUGCCAACCACAGGUCAAGGUCAAUGAGAAUUAAUUACCUGGGAGCGAAUGAACUGACGAGGAUCAUUAUAAUUCUGUGACUUUUUUUGAAACAUUGUUGGUUCUUUAACCUUUUGUUUUUUCCAGAUUUAGGGAAUCCUAUUCUCUUAAGCUAUCUAUGAUUUACAACGAUUUGGUAAAGUAUAUCUUUGUGAACAAAGGUGAAACAUUUAUCUUUUUCUCCCUACAUGAUCCCUCCAGAAUUAGAAAACUCUCAGUGAGUAUUCUUAUUUUCAUGGCAAUAUAGUUAUUUGCAUAAGUUCAAUAAGAUUCUAUUCUCCUUGUAAUAGGACACCAUUGGAAACAUUAUUUAAUUCCCAAGACUUUGACUGGAAGGUAUUAUUUGAGAAUGUGCAUAGACUCAGAUAUGACCAGACAGUUUGGAAAACCAACCUAUAGCCUGCUUACAGGGUUCCUGGCAGCUUUAUCAGAAACACCUUUUAUUAAAAACCUGAUGCAAGUAUGUGCGCCAUGUAGGCCUAACUUGGGGAACCCACCUGCAUCGCCACUUCCUGAAAUGAGACACAGCCUCUACUUGAACUGACCUACUCUCUGGACUAAGAGAGGGUUCAAUGAGAUAAAGACAACCCAGCAACUCAGGACAGGUUCAAACCUUCUUACACCAGGUGGCCAAGACAAUAAAGUAGUUCACAAUGUCACCCAAAUCUUUGACCAGGUUCCUCGGGCCCCCAAGGUCACUGACUUAGUUUUAUUGCAGGACACUUCAAAUUUGGGACAGUGGAUACAGACGAGAUUUCAGACUGCUGUCUGUGUAUUUAUUAUAGGAUUUGGGACUAGAAUCCUAUUUAGAUAUGUGCUUUCUGAGUUACAAUGCACCCUACCCCUGACUUAGCACAUCAGCUACGGAGGCAGUUACAUUCUCACCACCCUCACCUUUGACUCUGAUGGCUUGGCAUCACAGGGUGGGUGGUAGGGUGAGCCCUAACAGGUGGGGUUUUUCCUUUUUGUAACGCAAAUGCAUAACUUAAGCUUUGAUUGCCCAGGCCCCCACUUCAGAUAGGGCAUCAGCUUCAAGGAAGGCUACCUGGGAAAAGCACAUUGCUAUUAGCCACGCCAGAUACAGAGCCAGGCCACCUUCCCCACUGAGGUGGCUUUGUUUGGAAGAUCUUAUUUAAUUGCAGCGACUGACCAUUGGGGCACUUGUUUUAUUUUCUCUUUCUGCACUUUAAAUUCCUGCUUUCAUGUUUUAAAUUCACCAGUAAAGAGUGAGCCUAGGAAAACCCCAGGCCCCCACGCCAAGCCCCAGUAAAAGUAGGACCCCAGGCCUGUGCUCACAGUAUCCUUCUCUCCCUCCCUCCCUCCCUCCCUCCCUCCCUCUCUCUCUCCACCUCUCUGUCUCUCUAUCCCCCUGACCUCGCAGUGUGGCACCAGGUGUGCUGUGUAAUUUCCAGGUCCUGUAAGUAAUAAACCUUUAGUUUUUCAAGUUUCCCAAUAGUUAGUGCUGAGGGGUGUCUUGCCAUCAUAAUGAGAACCACAAGGGCCGGUUCAGCCACAGUGUUGGUUAUUGACAGGCUGGGGCCAGCACACAACAGCUAUUAAGAUUCCUUUUUGGUAUUUGAAUGAUCAAAUGACUAAUGUUAUGUGGCACAUGUCAUGGGUUUGCACAACGUUUGGCACAAAGCAAGAAUGUGAUUGUGGUCCACCCAAGCCUCGCUGCAGAGGGGUGGUCUAAACAAAUUCUGGAAUAAACAGUUUCUGCUCUUUUUGACAUUCUGUUUAAGGGCAUUCUUUUCAGAUGUGGGAGUGCAUUCUGUUUCGUUAGCAGAACUGACUUUGUAUUUCAGACUUUGGGAGGAAGGUGCCUGGGUGUUUUCAUAGUAAAGGUUACUAUUAUUAGUUUUGCAAAUGGUUGACUGAUAAACAGAGAAAAGGAUGAAAUUUGUGGGAUAUGCUAACACCUACAGAUGCAUCCGUCUGGAAGGAAGGGUUGAAGUGGGGUGCGGACAACUCAACAUUUGAAAAGAUAGCUUUUUCACAUGUCUAGCAGGAAUCUUCGUGCUGAUACUAUUAGACUGAACCAUAUUAAAUUACCAAUAUUUGACUGUCUUUACCCUACAAAAUGGCAGCUCCAUACGGCUCAACCAAAUAUGUUUUUCAAAAGAGGGAGCAGUAAUAUACAGAUCCAGACCCAUAUACAAAGCCUGCCUUUCUGCCACCCUUUCUUUCCUCUCUGACUUCUUUCUUUCCACUUUCUGAUAAAAACUUUAUUUAGUGCCAACUUUGUUUCAGGCUUUAAUUUUAGGAAUAAUUUAUUUGAUUGGUUUCUUCUGUAUGUUCCCAACUUAACUUUAAUUUUACUUCUAUUGACAACUUCAUGGUACUCUGACACACUGCCGGCACAAGAGCUGGCUCAUGAAGGUACAGGGUAUCGGGAGAGCCAAUGAAGAUUCUGGUUUUGGUCUGGGACACGUCUCCAGUGAUGGCGCUCCUGCUUUGCCAUUUAGGUUUUGAGUCACUUGCGGUGUGAGACCUCAAGUUACGAAAGUAUGUAUGUCACAUUUACUGACCACACUCCGUUAAAUCUGCCCUUUCCUCUGCAGUCCUUUAUUUGAGUUUUUCAACAGAGGACUAAAAAAAAUGAAUGGAAGCAAUUUAAUUCCUAUGUUUCCCUGGCAAAGAUAAGAACAUAAAGAUUCCAGGGGAAGAACUGAAUGGUAACAAAGCUAAUAUCAAUAUUGAAGAGAAAUGUACAGUUUGACUCGGAACAAGUGUGCUUGUCUGUAAUUUUGAAAUUAAUGGCAAGAAAAGUGAGGUUGCGUGGAAAAGAUGGGCACUUACGUGAAUGCUUCAAGGAAGAGUGGGGACAGAUGAGGAGGAGCAGUGGGGCAGUUGGUGAUGGAGCAGAGACGUGUAUCCAGGCGCAGGUGUUGGGCACUCAGAUGUGACCCUGAGGCAGCUCGCCCGAGGAGGGGAGACCAUCCUACCCCUCCUCUGCCUCCUCUUUUUUUUGCCAGCGUGUGAAGUUGCGUCAAUAGCAGAUUUAUAUUCUCCAUACAAAUACUUUCAACCCCCGAGUCUUAGAAAACGGGGCAUCCUAACUCUCCACAUGCAGGGUCCAGGGCACGUGGACACAACCUCCUGGCAUUUCUGUCCUGGCAGCAUGGCUCCACUCGCCAGCGUCUGGAGGCAGGUGUUUCAUUGCACCGCUGUCGCUAGAUUACCACUCUCAUCAUCAGAGUGACCAGCUCUUCUCUACUUCUGCUAACGUUUUAAGGAAGUACGUUGGUCAGGGGCGCCCACGCUGACCAGCCACAUGGCCUGGGUGCCUUCAGGCUGUGGGCCACUGUGGGCAAGCCUGGGAUGUGAACUCGGGCUGCGACCCUGGGGCCGUUAAUGGCUGUCACGUGUCAUUGGAAUCGCAGUAGCAGCUGUUUAUAGAGAGAUGCUCCCAGUUGAAUCACUAUGUACUAAAUUUGUAGUUACCCAUCUGGAUAACAGAACAAGCUAUUGGCAGGAAGAAGAGGAAAAUUACACAAAUUUAACAGGGCAAAGUACGCAUGCCGCAUAUACUUUUCGCUCUGAAAUGCAAGAUUCAGUAAAGACGAUUUCCACGUUUGGAGCUUGGCCUCCGGUGGGUUUAGCAUCACCCUCCUCUGAUGUGGUUCUUGUUGGUAGCACUCUGCUCCCCAGUCUCCGACUUUUCAGUGUUUCUCUCUGGGUGGCUCCGUCAAGCUCCCAUCGUGCUGUAGCAUCUUCCUGGAAAUGUCUCCUUUUUGACCAAGACUCAAGCUGCUGCUGCCCUUUGUCUGCUCUCCUGCUGCAGCCUUUCCUUUAUAUAAUGAUCUUCUGACGUCCAACAGUCUCCUAUUAUCCAGAAAGGACCCUGCUUUUGUAAUUUACAAAUAUUUACUAGCCACCAAGAAAACGCCAAACUUUCCACUAAAGAACUGAAACUUUGCCUUUGGACCUGGAGAGCCACACACAUGAUGGUAUGACAGAAGUACCCGGGCACGUCAAAUCACAUUCCAUCCUCAAUGAAUAAGCCCUGGGUGACUGAAAUACAUCACAGAUGGAUGAGAAAAUAUGAAAACAAAAAUACCUUCCUAAGUGAAACCAUACUGAUUUACCUUCUGUGAAAUAAAUAAAGUAGGAUGUUUCUUUCAAAGAUAUGGAAUGAAUCCAUGCAGUUUGCUAUAGUUGUUUUAAAGUAAACUAUAUUUUAAAAAUUUUGCGGGGGGGAUAACUAAGUUGACCAUUUUUCUUUCUGAAUGGAUAACAAAUAUUUUGCUCUUCAAAAGAGGAAAAUUAAUUAGGAAAAUCAAUAAGCAAGCCAUAGAACGGGAGAGAAUAUUUACAGUACAUAUAUCAGACCAAAAGCUUGUGUCUCAAUAAUAUAAAGAACUACUAUAAUCUAUCAUAAAAGACAAACAACCAAAAAUGGGCAGAAUAGUUGAAUAGGCACCUCACAAAAGAAGAUACGUGAAUGGCAAUAUGAAAGGGAAAAUUGCUCAAUAUCAUUAAUCAUUAGGGAAAUGCAAAUUAAAACCACAAUGAGAUACUUCUAUACACAUCAGAAUGUCAAUAACUUAAAAAGAUUGACAAUACAGCGUUGUCAAGGGUUUGAUCAUAACUCUCAAAUAUGGCCAAUAGAGUGUAAAAUGGAAUAGUCUGGGAAAAUGUUUGGCACUUUUUCAAAAAGUUAAACAUGCAUCUUCCCUGUGUCCCAGAAAUUCCACUCUCAGAUAUUCAUCUAAGAGAGAGAACAUACAGGUCCACAAAACACCCCAUGUGAGCAUGGUCAUCGAAGCUUUGUUCGUAGUAUCAAGAACAAGAACAAGCCCUGAGGUCCGUCACCAGGAAAGCGGAGGCGCUGUGGUGUGUGUAUACAGGGGAUACUUCUCACCGAUACAGGCGUACGCUUCUGAUACGCGUAGUAACGUUAAUGGAUCUCACCUAUUAUGCUGAGUGAAAGAAGCCAGACGGAAAAGAGUACACAGUCUAUGACAGAAAUUACAUGAAGUUCCAGAAGAAUUAAAAAAAAACUAUGACAAGAGAAAUCAGACGGCAUCAGGGGCCUGUCUGGGUAGGGACAGAGGCACCUUCUGGGGUCGUGGACACCUUCUGUCACCCAUGUGGGUUCCUUGAGUGAAUGCAUUUGGAAAAGAGAAUGUGCUUCUAUAUGUAAUGAGGUCUCAAUAAAAUGUUUCCUAAAAGAAAAA